GGGCCCGUAGCUCAGCUGGAAGAGCAACUGACUUUUAAUCAGUAGGUCACAGGUUCGAACCCUGUCGGGCUCACCA
rnacentral:tRNA from 1 species